rnacentral:rRNA from 1 species
AUGGUGCGCUCGCAAUCAUCAUCAAGGCGAACAUCGCAACUUGCCGUGCUCGCUGCUUCAUCCAGAGUCCAGACUCCGUCAGACUCUAGCCCCAGCGCCAGCGGUCGAGCUCGACCAGUCCAUCCAUGGCGAAGCACUGAAGCCGCUCAGUGCGGCCGUGCCCAACCGCUCCAUUCCGCCCGCACACGCCCGUCAACUUCUCGGGCACCACUAACCCCUGACCAAAUCUCCCCGCGCGUUACCACAGAAAUCCGCAGCAGUCGGGCCCCGAACCACACGCACGCCGCCGUCCAACGCCAAUGGUCAAACCUGCAAUCCUAA